rnacentral:rRNA from 1 species
UCAAGAAACUUCCACAAUGGGCGAAAGCCUGAUGGAGCGACGUCGCGUGAUGGACGAAGUGCUUCGGCACGUAAACAUCUUUUAUGUGGGAUGAAAUUAUUGACAGUACCACAUGAAUAAGGGGCUCCUAACUCUGUGCCAGCAGGAGCGGUAAUACAGAGGCCCCAAGCGUUAUCCGGAAUCACUGGGCGUAAAGGGUGUCGAGGCGGUUGUAUUAGUCGUUCGUAAAAUCUACGAGCUUAACUUGUAGGCGGCGAACGAAACGGUACGACUUGAGGUUUGGAGAGGUGCGUGGAACUCACGGUGUAGGGGUGAAAUCCGUUGAUAUCGUGGGGAACACCAAAGGCGAAGGCAGCGCACUGGCCAAAAUCUGACGCUCACACACGAAAGCUAGGGGAGCAAACAGGAUUAGAUACCCACGUAGUCCCUGAGCGGGCUGGCAAGGCG